AUGCAGCCAUGCCGCGUGUGUGAAGAAGGCCUUCGGGUUGUAAAGCACUUUCAGUCAGGAGGAAAGGUUAGUAGUUAAUACCUGCUAGCUGUGACGUUACUGACAGAAGAAGCACCGGCUAACUCCGUGCCAGCAGCCGCGGUAAUACGGAGGGUGCGAGCGUUAAUCGGAAUUACUGGGCGUAAAGCGUACGCAGGCGGUUUGUUAAGCGAGAUGUGAAAGCCCCGGGCUCAACCUGGGAACUGCAUUUCGAACUGGCAAACUAGAGUGUGAUAGAGGGUGGUAGAAUUUCAGGUGUAGCGGUGAAAUGCGUAGAGAUCUGAAGGAAUACCGAUGGCGAAGGCAGCCACCUGGGUCAACACUGACGCUCAUGUACGAAAGCGUGGGGAGCAAACGGGAUUAGAUACCCCGGUAGUCCACGCCGUAUACGAUGUCGACUAGAAGCUCGGAGCCUCGGUUCUGUUUUUCAAAGCUGACGCAUUAGGUAGACCGCCUGGGGAGUACGGCCGCAAGGUUAAAACUCAUAGGAAUUGACGGGGGCCCGCACAAGCGGUGGAGCAUGUGGUUUAAUUCGAUGCAACGCGAAGAACCUUAGCUACACUUGACAUACAGAGAACUUACCAGAGAUGGUUUGGUGCCUUCGGGAACUCUGAUACAGGUGCUGCAUGGCUGUCGUCAGCUCGUGUUGUGAGAUGUUGGGUUAAAUCCCGCAACGAGAGCAACGUCGAUGCUUACUUGCUAGCACGUAAUGCUGAUAACUCUGAAGAGACUGCCUGUGAUAGACCGGAUGAAGGUGGGGACGACGUCAGUCAUCAUGGCCCUUACUGUGUAGGGCUACGCACAUGCUAGAAUGUGUGCAUACUGAGUGCAUGCGAACUCGCGAGAAGUAAUCGAAUCACUUUAAAGUGCGUCGUACUCUGGAUUGCACUCUGCAACUCGACUUCCAUGGACAUCGGAUCGCUAGUAAUCGCGUAUCAAAUGACGUCGCUGAAUACAUG
rnacentral:rRNA from 1 species